AGUAGUAGGCAAGUGGUUGGACAAAAAGCAAGAAGCGGAUCCAUGUUGCUGGCUUUGGAUUCUUUGAACAAAUGAGACAGGCUGCUUCUUGCAUUGGAAAAUUCCAUCCUUUAACACUGGGAUUAUAUGUCACCAUUGCUGAAAUCAUAGAGUCUACUUAAUUGGCUUGCAAGCAUGAGAGAUAGCCAGAGAGAAUGGGAGAGGCCGAGCAUUCCCUUGCAUAAAGAGGGGAUUCAACAAGAUUCCAGAGCCCCUGCGUGGACAUGAUGUACGCAUGCGCCUGGCAGGGAGGGCGGCUCAACUGAGCAUGCUCCGGAGCUGGCCUCUGCCCACUUAACAGGGAGCCGAACCCUCUGUGCUUGUGACUGAUGGAUGGUUUCAAAUGGCCUUUAUUCUUCGCCGUAUGUUCUUUGGAUCAUAUUCUGAAUGGAUCAUUUGUUAAAGAUUGGAAGCCUUAGCAACCCAGAUGCUGAAAUUCAUGUUAACAAUUCAGUAAAUUGCCUGACGAUAUUGUUCACUUUAUCUGAGGAUGGUCUUUUUCUCAUCAAAAUCUGUCCCUCUGAAGAGGCCCCUGGACCUCAGAAACUUAGUGUCACAGAAAGAAAAGACAGUGACAUUAUGUCUAAAUUUGGUUUUCAUCUAAUUAAAAACAAACCAUUGUACAGAAGUGGUUACAAAUAGCAGCUAGUUGAUUUUUAAGCACAAAAUGUAAGAAUUGCAGACACGAGGUCAUGAAAGCAAUUGUUGAUGCUCAAAACCUGUAUUUCAAUGUGAGUGCCAAACAGCUAACACAGAAUAGCUCUUUCAUUGACUUCCUCUCUGUAUCCAGUGGCCUUGAAAUCAUUUUCACAAAAUUUUUGUGUCACUAGGACAUUUCCUGGUGACACCGGGCCCAGAAAUGGUAGAAGUUGCUCGAACUAGGGCCUGUAGGCACGUUAUAAAGUUUAUGGGUUUUAGAUAUGCCCUCCCAAAAUUUGAUGUUAAUCCUCACAUUUAAUUAAAUGUUUGCAUAUGUUGGAUAUUAAAGAUUAUACUAAGCACAAGAUUUAUAGUGUGUGUGGGGAUAAAACGUACACAUCUUUUUUUUUUACUCUCAGCUUUUUCUUUUUUUGUAAUACCCCAUCUUGGACAUCUGUGCAUUUCUCUCACCUUCUGGCCCACCUUUGAUGCCAGUCAUUGCUGGGCAACCGGCUUUGCGCAGGUGUAACCAGACGGGCCGUGUUUCAGCUGCACCCUGUGUCUCCCUGUCAGCCCUGGGGCUUCUCUGGGACGGUAUCUUGGAGUACAUGUGUGUGCCAUGUGUGGAAGUUGUGUGGGAAUCAACGCUUCAUGAGGCAACGCUCCAAAAGGAAAUGGGAGUCUCUAGGUUAAUGCUUCCCUUUUUCUUCCCGCAGACUGAAAAUUACACAGCCUCUUAGGGGGCCCUCAAUGGAGACAUGAUGGAUCACGUGACCACCUUUUCUUCCUGCUUCCCCACUUUGCUCCCUCCUGCCCUUGACUCCUGUCCUCUGGAUGCACUCUCCAAAAUAAUCUUCCUUUCCAAAACCCUUGUCACAGGCUCUGCUUUCUGCAAGGAACUUGGGGCAGGACAGCACGAUGAUACACUAGAAUGAAGGCGAAUUGUCUGUCUGUGAAUGGGCUUCAAAGAGAACUUGGGGAAACACCAGACCAGAGGCUCAUUGGAAUCAGAGCAUACAGAAUAGAAUGGACAGGCCCCCAUCCAGCUCUCACAAGUUCAAGUAUACGCUAACAAGUAUCUGAGUCUUCCACGAAGAACAGGAGGAGAAGCUCCCCCAGCCUGGUCAAGCCUUUUGAACAUCUGUAAAAGUACAUGUGACACGGAGAAGAAGCAGAGAACAAAAGAGCGUGUGGACAAACAUUCAGGAAUCCCAAUCGCAGGAGACUUUGGCCCUCUUUCUAGAUCUAAUUAUAAAACUGCAAAUGAUGCUGGCCUAUUCCAAGGAAGUUGUUGCUCUCACUCUAGAUGUGGUCUCUGGCGACAAGUAAAGGUGGGGAAGAUGGGGGCAGGGAGCGCCUCUUUGCUUCUGUCAUGAUCCAUUGUGAGCCAGUGUGGCCUUUCCAUCAGCCCGGUUGUUGGCUGCAUGCUCAGGAUUCUGAAAAAUCUAGUUACCUCCCUGUAUCUUUCUGUACCUGUAGAGAGUACAUCUGUAUGAUCUAGUCCAGUGGUUCUCAGAAUGUGGAUGAGACGACCUUUUGCUGAAGGCAGAUUUCCACAGGAGGGAGGUUAAGAAAGCCAAUUCUUGGGUUCCACCCCAGAUCUUCAGCAGUCUGUUCUGAUGAGCCUUCCAGGUGAUUCUGAAGCUGGCUUAAGUUUGCAAACCACUUCCCUGGGUCUCUUCCCUCUCAUCCUGGCUUUCAAGCUUAGGUGGGCUUCACCGUUGAUUCCAUACGCUGCCCAGAGAAUGGGCUCAGAAACAAAAGAUGUCUUUCUUUACCUCUUGAUAGCCAAGAGGUAAAUAAAGGGCUAGAACUGUGUAGGUAGCUACCUGGAUUACAGAGAGCUAUUUGCUGGACUUUGGAAGUCAGCUGUUUGGAAUGUGAGCUAUUUUCCUGGGAGUGGUGGUUAGGUUCCCAUAGCAUCAUAGUUAAUCCUGAAUCCAGCCAAAAUAUUGCUGUGUCACAAUGAAAUGGAGCAGAUCAUGAUGCUCCUGUAGUAUUAGAAACCAAUCAGAACAAAAUAAAGCAAUAAAUAAAACACAGGAAUAGUAUUUUAUUUAUGCCAGUACUGUGGUGGAAGGAAAGGUUGAUUUGGAGGUGGUGAAAAGGUAAAUGGGGAUUUGUCAAGAUUAUGACGGAGUGGCUGGCCUUUCCCUUUAGAAUGUCAUGGUACUAAGUUCUCUAGUUAGAUUUGUCUUGAAUGUGGUUCUGGCCUGUUACUUUAUCUUCUUCUGAAGUCAGAUUUCUCACUAGGAGGGAGGUAAAGAAUGCUGAGGCAAGUUGGCAAGAGUUGAAAAGGAGCAUGGAAAGAGUAAGGGACUAAAAGAGAAUGUGGGUUUGCUUUUCAUGAACACGAGCAUCAGCAGAGACAGGACUCACUUGAGUUGUGAGCGGUGAGAGAUGGCUGGGCCAAGAGAGGGUCAGCAUUCUUCGCUGACAAAAGAGAGGAAAGAAAGCAGACAAAAAAGCCGACCACAUCGCUCGGGAGCUGCUGUUCUGGAAGCGUUCCUGCCCCUCGUAUUGUCCUGAGAAUUGGCCCUCAACAGUCACCUUUCAUGUCAUCUUGCUCCUCUCUGGCCACAGAUGGGCAGCUGACCAGAGGCCUUGACAAUGACCACUGAUAUGGCAUAAGAAGAUGAGCUGGACCAAUCCAGCGUCCUCCCUUUUCCUUCUAGGCAUUUGAACUUGGAAAUACCCAGAAUGGUUGUUCGAUCUGUGAUGGGAAGAAGUACGUGGCUGUGAGCAUGUUACUUGUUUUCCAGUCAAAUGCUUCUAGCUUGCUUUCCUCUGGUGGCUAAAAUACUUUCUUCAGGGGUUCACCCUGCAUUUAUUCAGGAUUUUAUUUUUGUACCAUAAAAAUGAUCCUCGCUGACGGUUGCAUGGCUGGAUUUGGGGAAAUGUGGUAGCCCUAAUGGAAUUAAUUAAUUGAAUAAUAUUGCCUGACAAAUGGCUCUGUAUACCAAAGAGGGAUUGAGACCUAAUUACCGAUGUCAUUUAUCUCUCUAUUUGCACCCCAACAAUAAAUGACUCGUUUCU
rnacentral:lncRNA from 1 species